rnacentral:rRNA from 1 species
AUUGAACACUGGCGGCAUGCUUUACACAUGCAAGUCGAACGGUAACAGGCCGCAAGGUGCUGACGAGUGGCGAACGGGUGAGUAAUGCAUCGGAACGUGCCCAGUCGUGGGGGAUAACGUAGCGAAAGCUACGCUAAUACCGCAUACGAUCUAUGGAUGAAAGCGGGGGACCGUAAGGCCUCGCGCGAUUGGAGCGGCCGAUAUCAGAUUAGGUAGUUGGUGGGGUAAAGGCCUACCAAGCCGACGAUCUGUAGCUGGUCUGAGAGGACGACCAGCCACACUGGGACUGAGACACGGCCCAGACUCCUACGGGAGGCAGCAGUGGGGAAUUUUGGACAAUGGGCGCAAGCCUGAUCCAGCAAUGCCGCGUGCAGGAUGAAGGCCUUCGGGUUGUAAACUGCUUUUGUACGGAGCGAAAAGGCUCUCUCUAAUACAGGGGGCUCAUGACGGUACCGUAAGAAUAAGCACCGGCUAACUACGUGCCAGCCGCCGCCGUAAUAC